rnacentral:rRNA from 1 species
UACGGGGGAGCAAGCGUUGUUCGGAUUUACUGGGCGUAAAGGGCGCGUAGGCGGUCAGCACAAGUCAGUUGUGAAAUCUCCGGGCUUAACUCGGAAAGGUCAACUGAUACUGUGCGACUAGAGUGCAGAAGGGGCAACUGGAAUUCUUGGUGUAGCGGUGAAAUGCGUAGAUAUCAAGAGGAACACCUGCGGCGAAGGCGGGUUGCUGGGCCGACACGUGACGCUGAGGCGCGAAAGCCAGGGAGCAAACGGG